GAGAAUUAAGGUGUAUGUUAAGGAUAUUAAAUAUUCUAAGAGUGGGAAGAGCUUCCUGAAGUGCUAGGAGAGAAAUGAUCAGAAGAAAAAGGAAGCCAAAGGAAAAAGCACCUGGUUUCAACUGAAGGGUCAGCCUGCCUCACCAGAGAGAUAGCUUUGUAAGAACCAGUAAUAAAGAACCUGAAGUAUCGGAACCAAUCUCCUAUGAAUAAUUAGUGCCAUUCGAUACAUCAGAAUGCAUCAACCAGGAUUUUCAUUUGUUUUGUUGCAGACUAUUUCAUAAGCAUCUUGAAAACUACAUUUUAGAGCCCAGAUACUACCCUUACUGCGGAUUGACGCCAUGAAACUGGGUUUCCUGAAUCACCAGACAAGCCAACAAGGUUAAUGAAUCUUUCCUGAACCCGAAGGGUGGCAAAAUAAGGGCAAAAUAAAAAACAGUGGACCAGAGUACUCAUGUUGGCAAAGGAAUUAGGCAAUAAGCUAGAAAACUUGACAUACAUCCUA